AAUCGAAACCCGCUCCAGUGAUGCCAGCGAUUCCUCCGGCGCCGGUGCCACCGAAGACCACCAGUUGUGGUCUUCGCAAGGGCCACAAAAGACGGGCGGAGUGUCCAGUAGCACCCAGAAGACAAGCUUUCCUGGGGGUCCUUGUCCAGAGGAAGAGGGCGUCCGGAGGGCUUACCUAAUGAACAAGCAAGCACGGAAAGGAGCCAACCACAAGGUUGGAGGUGCAGCGCCCCGCGGGAGGUGAAGAGAGAGACGAAGAUGGAUGAGCAAUCUGCCUGCAACGCGAGAGGGUAGCCUGCCAAGGUUUGUUUAUGUCCGUGCGUGCGUAGGGCGAUUUUAUAGGCGCCGGGGCCCCGCCCCCAGGGCCUCGCCCCUCCCAGACCCUCUGCUCCUAGCGCAGCAGGGGACGGGGACACACCCCUUUCUCCCGCCCGCCUCGCGCUGCACCCUGCCUGGGCUGGGCGGGGCGGGCUGGAGCCGCCGCCUGUUGCGCAAGCCUUUGCAGGGGCGCGACGGGAGAGACUACGGGGGGGGGGGCCUGCCUGAGGCUCCUCCCUGUGAUCCCCUCUCGGGAACGCGGCGUGUGCAGCGGACGCGUGCCCACCGAGUGGUAGCGUGGUGUGCCCGUGCGCGCUCGUGCGCGUGUGCAUACGGACUCCCUUGUAUCUCUGCGCGACCGCGUGGCCCCUAUAGCUUGUGAGUUUCCUAAGCCUCUGCCCGCGCCACGCCCUUCUGGGCGGCACCCCCCACUUCCUCCCGGUCUCCACGUAGUCACUCCCGAGCCCCAUUUUCAGCCUAGACGCCAGACUUUCUCUCCAGCCUCCUUUCACAUUGCUUAGCUCCCUCCAUUCUCGCUGAUCUUGGCGCUCCACAAGUCCCUCCCUACUCUGAGCUGCUGUUUCCCCGUGGCUCUAGCCUGCUGUGUCAGCUGUGAGCACUCUACAGACUGCAUUUUGUGGUCCCCAGAAAGUGCAUAGAAUUUGCUUUCCAACCAUGGAUCUCCCUUCUGUCGUGAUGUUCUAAAACCUUGGCCUGAUUGCCUGCUACAGGGUUCUCAGCCCUGGCCUACACCUGAGCCUCUCCAGGGAGCUUUUCUUAAGCAGGUGGAUACCCUGGCUGUACCCCAAAGCAGCUUAGUUAGAAUCUCUGGGAGUGCGCACCAACACUGGGGCUUUGGAAAAAACCUCCUCAUCGCGUGUAGAAAGAUGGCACACCUGGUAAAGACACUGCCAAGCCUGGGGACCUAAAUUCCAUGCCUGGAAACCACAAAGUGGAAAGAAAGAACACAGUGCCAUACAUUUUCCUCAGACCCCUCACUCCCCAUCCCCACUAAAUAAAUAAAUAAAUAAAUAAAUAAAUAUUGCCCUGGUUGGCUCUGAUGUGAAACCAUGUUGAGAAUCUCCAAGCACCAAGAAAACAUUGUGUUAUAGAGACACUGGGUCACACCUAAGGCCCAGUCCAGUCACUGUUUCAAAGCCACCUGCUCAACCUUUAUGACUCAAGUGGCCUUCCCCUCUUCCCUCUUCUGCAUACCCUGGCCCUCAUUCUCUUGGUCUAUGGAUAUCUAGGGAGCCACUUGACGCGAGCCUGGUCUGUGCUGAGGAGCUGGGGAAGAAGGAAGUAAAAAAGGGAAAGCUCUUUCUUUGGGGGGUAUAGCAAAAUGGAGCCCCGAGAUUUCUGUUUCCCAAGACAUCCACAUAAGAUCACAAGUAAGCUGACCUUACUCGAUCUAUAGUUGUCCUGAGCACCUACUAUGUUCAAGAACUGCUGGACCCUAGGGCCAUGAAACAUGGAUGUCAGGACCUGUUGUGGCGAGUAGAACUAUGGCAAGCAAGAAACCCACAGUCAACAGUCCCGUCUGCAGCCUCUUUGAUGUCACAGGGAGUCCUCAGGAGAGGCUAGGCCUGGAGCCAUCGAAACAAGCUGCAACAGGAACAUGAAGAUCUCAUGCUCCCGAGAGGGCAGAUGUGAUGCCAAGCUCCACAAGCUGAACCCAGAGGUUGAGACACUGAGCUAUGAAGAUUAGUCUGCCAUUACCUCACUGGACACACCGUGAGCUUUUUCUCCCCUGGCCCCCAGUGCCUGUAGGCAGUUGAGUGAUGGUUGACUUUGGGGUACUCAUUUCUCCAGCUUUGUUAAGUCAAGUCAAUGCAUCUUUAAUGCUCCAAGCACUUGGAGUUGGGCCUGUGCCAAUCUCACUGUAGCCUAUCCAAGGAUCAUAAACAUCUGAGAGGAGAGUGAGGGGCAGGUAAGGAAAAGUCUUCCUAUAGAGGACACUGGUGCUGUCAACAAGCAACCAUCACAAGGUGAUGGCUUAGAGAAAGAAACUGGUGGCAUGACUGGGCAUUGGUGGCAGAUAGAGAUCACCCUAGGACCCAACCUGGUGGAGGUUCCAGUUUGUCACCGCUGCCAAAAUGGAAGAAGGGGGUACUAUGCACUGGGCUCAUGCUGAUAAAACUUGUAUUUAGAAAAAAAAUCAACCAAAUAAUAUUAUGUGACACUUUUUUUUUUUUUUUUUGCAUUACAUUGACCCCAGUAACUCAGCUGACACCAUCUAGCGUUCAAAUGACAGGAAACUGGAAUCCCACCUCAUGUUCCACCAAGGCCUGCGAACGUAGGGUAAUCAGCAUAAGUGAGUUCCCUAGGAAGGGCAAUGGUUCCUCGGGUUCUUCUGAUGGUCUUUCCCUCUGAGACUGUUAAAGGUGGAAUGGGACAUUGACUGCCUGCCCCUAAUCUCAGGAGGAAGGACUAGCAUUUUAGAAAACACUUUUGAGGAGUGUGACAUAGUCUGUGCCAACCAUAUCAAGGGCUGCUGAAUAGGAAAAAUUAACAUGGGUCCUUGGUCCUUAGACCCAACUUAGAGGUUAAAGGGAAGGGAGUGAGCACUCAAGUCAUUGGAACACUUAUGUUCUUAGAGUUUGUGGAUUCUCUUUGUCAUUCAACCUGACCAUAGGAUGUUGGUAGACAUUGGUCCAGAUUCCCAAUGAACAUUGGCCAAUUCUGUGGCCACCCAUUCUUUUCAUUAUUUUAGAACAGUGCAGGAGGGGUCUUGCUGUACAAGGUAAGCUAAAUGGUAUGGAGUUGGACUCAAUGAUAUAGUUGUCAUGGGUGACUUGCCUUCUCCAUCCAAAUCCAUAUGGCCUAACCCUUGUGGACUUAGAAUGAAACUAUACAGGGAGACAGGUCUUCACCAUUAAAAUGGUCUUACCCGA
ensembl:processed_transcript Gm2895 predicted gene 2895